ACCUAGGCGACGAUCCCUAGCUGGUCUGAGAGAAUGACCAGCCACACUGAAACUGAGACACGGUCCAGACUCCUUCGGGAGGCAGCAGUGGGGAAUAUUGCACAAUGGGCGCAAGCCUGAUGCAGCCAUGCCGCGUGUAUGAAGAAGGCCUUCGGGUUGUAAAGUACUUUCAGCGGGGAGGAAGGGAGUAAAGUUAAUACCUUUGCUCAUUGACGUUACCCGCAGAAGAAGCACCGGCUAACUCCGUGCCAGCAGCCGCGGUAAUACGGAGGGUGCAAGCGUUAAUCGGAAUUACUGGGCGUAAAGCGCACGCAGGCGGUUUGUUAAGUCAGAUGUGAAAUCCCCGGGCUCAACCUGGGAACUGCAUCUGAUACUGGCAAGCUUGAGUCUCGUAGAGGGGGGUAGAAUUCCAGGUGUAGCGGUGAAAUGCGUAGAGAUCUGGAGGAAUACCGGUGGCGAAGGCGGCCCCCUGGACGAAGACUGACGCUCAGGUGCGAAAGCGUGGGGAGCAAACAGGAUUAGAUACCCUGGUAGUCCACGCCGUAAACGAUGUCGACUUGGAGGUUGUGCCCUUGAGGCGUGGCUUCCGGAGCUAACGCGUUAAGUCGACCGCCUGGGGAGUACGGCCGCAAGGUUAAAACUCAAAUGAAUUGACGGGGGCCCGCACAAGCGGUGGAGCAUGUGGUUUAAUUCGAUGCAACGCGAAGAACCUUACCUGGUCUUGACAUCCACAGAACUUUCCAGAGAUGGAUUGGUGCCUUCGGGAACUGUGAGACAGGUGCUGCAUGGCUGUCGUCAGCUCGUGUUGUGAAAUGUUGGGUUAAGUCCCGCAACGAGCGCAACCCUUAUCCUUUGUUGCCAGCGGUCCGGCCGGGAACUCAAAGGAGACUGCCAGUGAUAAACUGGAGGAAGGUGGGGAUGACGUCAAGUCAUCAUGGCCCUUACGACCAGGGCUACACACGUGCUACAAUGGCGCAUACAAAGAGAAGCGACCUCGCGAGAGCAAGCGGACCUCAUAAAGUGCGUCGUAGUCCGGAUUGGAGUCUGCAACUCGACUCCAUGAAGUCGGAAUCGCUAGUAAUCGUGGAUCAGAAUGCCACGGUGAAUACGUUCCCGGGCCUUGCACUCACCGCCCGUCA
rnacentral:rRNA from 1 species